rnacentral:rRNA from 1 species
UACAGAGGUCCCAAGCGUUGUUCGGAUUCACUGGGCGUAAAGGGUGCGUAGGUGGUGAGGUAAGUCGGAUGUGAAAGCCCCGGGCUUAACCUGGGAAUGGCAUUUGGGACUGCAAGGCUAGAGUGUGGCAGAGGAGACUGGAAUUCCUGGUGUAGCAGUGAAAUGCGUAGAUAUCAGGAGGAAUACCGAUGGCGAAGGCAGGUCUCUGGGUUAACACUGACGCUCAUGCACGAAAGCGUGGGGAGCAAACAGG